rnacentral:rRNA from 1 species
GAACGGGUGAGUAACGCGUGAGGAACCUGCCUCAAAAGAGGGGGGACAACAGUUGGAAACGACUGCUAAUACCGCAUAAGCCCACGGCUCGGCAUCGAGCAGAGGGAAAAGGAGCAAUCCGCUUUGAGAUGGCCUCGCGUCCGAUUAGCUAGUUGGUGAGGUAAUGGCCCACCAAGGCAACGAUCGGUAGCCGGACUGAGAGGUUGAACGGCCACAUUGGGACUGAGACACGGCCCAGACUCCUACGGGAGGCAGCAGUGGGGAAUAUUGCACAAUGGGGGAAACCCUGAUGCAGCGACGCCGCGUGGAGGAAGAAGGUCUUCGGAUUGUAAACUCCUGUUGUUGGGGAAGAUAAUGACGGUACCCAACAAGGAAGUGACGGCUAACUACGUGCCAGCAGCCGCGGUAAAACGUAGGUCACAAGCGUUGUCCGGAAUUACUGGGUGUAAAGGGAGCGCAGGCGGGAAGACAAGUUGGAAGUGAAAUCUAUGGGCUCAACCCAUAAACUGCUUUCAAAACUGUUUUUCUUGAGUAGUGCAGAGGUAGGCGGAAUUCCCGGUGUAGCGGUGGAAUGCGUAGAUAUCGGGAGGAACACCAGUGGCGAAGGCGGCCUACUGGGCACCAACUGACGCUGAGGCUCGAAAGUGUGGGUAGCAAACAGGAUUAGAUACCCUGGUAGUCCACACCGUAAAC